rnacentral:RNase_P_RNA from 1 species
AUAGCAGGCCGUUCUAUCGCUGAUGAGAAAUACUUAUCGGAGGAAAGUCCGGACAACUCAGAGCAUCAUGCUUCUUAACUGGAAGGUACUGUGAAGUACAGUAGUGUAGCAGAAAAUAACCGUCCUGAUCUCAGGAUAAGGGUGAAAAGGUGGGGUAAGAGCUCACCAGUUUUGAUGGUGACAUCAAAAGCUGUACACCUCAUGAGUUGCAAGACCAUGUAUACCGGCGUUUUGGAGUUGCUCGUUUCAAGCCGGGGGGUAGGUCGCAUGAAAACGGGAGUAAUCUCGUUUCUAGAUAAAUGAUAGAGUCCGCUUUUUAGUGGAAACAGAAUCCGGCUUAUAGGCCUGCUAUUUUU